UUUCUUCAAGAUACAAAACAUUCAUAUAGCAUGUUUCUUAACUAGGUGACUCAAUCGUAAGAUAUGACAACAAUUGAAUGUUGAGUCAUUUUACUCAAGAGAUUGCCAAAUAUAAGCAAACACAUGUCACUUGAACUUAAGAGAUAGUUUCAUUAACCAAGAAGGUUCAAAGACAAGCAUGUGAAGCAAUAGAAAGAUUUAUCAAGGUCAAAUCAAUUUUUUUAUUUUCAGAAUCAAUUGGGCUUAGAUUCUAUUUGCUUAAGAUAAUUAUUAAAAAGACAUGUUAGCUAAGUUUUAAUCAACUUUAUCUUCAACAGUUGUUUCUAUCAAAAUUC
rnacentral:lncRNA from 1 species